CGGGGGGUGCGAGCGUUGUCCGGAAUCACUGGGCGUAAAGGGCGCGUAGGUGGUCUUGUAAGUUUGUGGUGAAAGCCCGGGGCUCAACCCCGGGUCUGCCGCGAAUACUGCGAGACUUGAGUACUGUAGAGGCUGGUAGAAUGCCGGGUGUAGCGGUGGAAUGCGUAGAGAUCCGGCAGAAGACCGGUGGCGAAGGCGGCCAGCUGGGCAGUGACUGACACUGAGGCGCGACAGCGUGGGGGAGCAAACAGGAUUAGAUACCCUGGUAGUCCACGCCGUAAACGAUGGGUACUAGGUGCUUGGGGGAGCGACCCUUGAGUGCCGCGCUAACGCAGGAAGUACCCCGCCUGGGGAGUACGGCCGCGAAGGCUG
rnacentral:rRNA from 1 species